rnacentral:rRNA from 1 species
UUACGGGAGGCAGCAGUGGGGAAUAUUGGUCAAUGGGGGAAACCCUGAACCAGCAACGCCGCGUGAAGGAAGAAGGUUUUCGGAUUGUAAACUUCUUUUGUCAGGGAAGAUAAUGACGGUACCUGACGAAUAAGCCACGGCUAACUACGUGCCAGCAGCCGCGGUAAUACGUAGGUGGCAAGCGUUGUCCGGAUUUACUGGGUGUAAAGGGCGUGUAGGCGGGAUCGCAAGUCAGAUGUGAAAACUAUGAGCUUAACUCAUAGCCUGCAUUUGAAACUGCGGUUCUUGAGUGAUGGAGAGGCAGAUGGAAUUCCCGGUGUAGCGGUGGAAUGCGUAGAUAUCGGGAGGAACACCAGUGGCGAAGGCGAUCUGCUGGACAUUAACUGACGCUGAGGCGCGAAAGUGUGGGGAGCAAACAGGAUUAGAUACCCGCGUAGUCCC